GAUUAACGCUAGCGGCAGGCCUAAUACAUGCAAGUCGAACGGCAGCGGGUCCAGCAAUGGAUGCCGGCGAGUGGCGCACGGGUGCGUAACACGUAUGCAAUCUACCUUUAACCGGGGGAUAGCCCCGAGAAAUCGGGAUUAAUACCCCAUAACAUUGCGAAGGGGCAUCUCUUUGCAAUUAAAACUCCGGUGGUUUUAGAUGAGCAUGCGCGACAUUAGCUAGUUGGUGAGGUAACGGCUCACCAAGGCUUCGAUGUCUAGGGGUUCUGAGAGGACUUACCCCCACACUGGUACUGAGACACGGACCAGACUCCUACGGGAGGCAG
rnacentral:rRNA from 1 species